rnacentral:rRNA from 1 species
AACGAACGCUGGCGGCAUGCCUAACACAUGCAAGUCGAACGAGACCUUCGGGUCUAGUGGCGCACGGGUGCGUAACGCGUGGGAACCUGCCCUUAGGUUCGGAAUAACUCCCCGAAAGGGGUGUUAAUACCGGAUAAUGUCUUCGGACCAAAGAGUUAUCGCCUUUGGAUGGGCCCGCGUUGGAUUAGCUAGUUGGUAGGGUAAAAGCCUACCAAGGCGACGAUCCAUAGCUGGUCUGAGAGGAUGAUCAGCCACACUGGGACUGAGACACGGCCCAGACUCCUACGGGAGGCAGCAGUGGGGAAUAUUGGACAAUGGGCGAAAGCCUGAUCCAGCAAUGCCGCGUGAGUGAUGAAGGCCUUAGGGUUGUAAAGCUCUUUUACCCGGGAUGAUAAUGACAGUACCGGGAGAAUAAGCUCCGGCUAACUCCGUG